rnacentral:rRNA from 1 species
GACGAACGCUGGCGGCGUGUUUAACACAUGCAAGUCGAACGCUGAAGACCUGGCUUUUGUUGGGUUGGAUGAGUGGCGAACGGGUGAGUAACACGUGAGUAACCUGCCCUCUUCUUUGGGAUAACGCCCGGAAACGGGUGCUAAUUCUGGAUAUUCACUGAUCUUCGCAUGGGGGUUGGUGGAAAGGUUUGUUCUGGUGGGGGAUGGGCUCGCGGCCUAUCAGCUUGUUGGUGGGGUGAUGGCCUACCAAGGCUUUGACGGGUAGCCGGCCUGAGAGGGUGACCGGUCACAUUGGGACUGAGAUACGGCCCAGACUCCUACGGGAGGCAGCAGUGGGGAAUAUUGCACAAUGGGCGAAAGCCUGAUGCAGCGACGCCGCGUGAGGGAUGGAGGCCUUCGGGUUGUAAACCUCUUUCGCUCAUGGUCAAGCCGCAACUGUGGGUUGUGGUGAGGGUAGUGGGUAAAGAAGCGCCGGCUAACUACGUG